CAAUAUUAUUUUAAAUAAUAUAUUAGAAAUGAAAUGUUAUUCGUUUUUAAAGGUAUCUAGUUCUUUAAGAAAUAAAUUUAAUUUAAAAAUUUUAUAUUAAUUAAUUAAAUAUAUUAAUUAAUUAAUUAUUUAAUUUUAAUAUUUUAUGGGAUAAGCUAUAAAGUAAAUUUUUAAAAAUUAUUAAAUAAAUUAUUAAAUAUAAAUUUAAAAAUAGUUAUUAUUAAUAAAAAUGUUAUAAUUUAUUUUAUAAAUCAAAUUAUUUAUUAAAAUUUUAAAUAUUUAUUAAAGUAUUUAUUUAAAUUAUAUAAAUAAAAAAAUAAUGAUAAAAUUAGUAUAAUAUAUUGUAAAAGUAAAUAAAAAUGAAAAGUUAUUUUAAAGAAUUCGGCAAAAUUAAUAUUCGCCUGUUUAACAAAAACAUGUCUUUUUUUAUUUAAUAAAAAGUCUGACCUGCCCACUGAAUUAUUUUAAAUGGCCGCAGUAUAUUAACUGUGCAAAGGUAGCAUAAUCAUUAGUCUUUUAAUUGAAGGCUUGUAUGAAUGGUUUGACGAAAUAUUGACUGUUUCAUAUUAAUUUAUAUUAAAAUUUUAUUUUUUAGUUAAAAAGCUAAAAUUAAUUUAAAAGACGAGAAGACCCUAUAAAUCUUUAUAUUUAAUUCAUUAAUAUUUUUUUGAAUUUUUUUAUUAUAAUGAAUAAUUAAUAUUUUAUUGGGGUGAUAUUAAAAUUUAAAAAACUUUUAAUUAAUUUUACAUUAAUUUAUGAAUUAUUGAUCCAUUAUUAGUGAUUAAAAAUUUAAGUUACUUUAGGGAUAACAGCGUAAUUUUUUUGGAGAGUUCUUAUCAAUAAAAAAGAUUGCGACCUCGAUGUUGGAUUAAGAUAUAAUUUUAGGUGUAGCUGCUUAAAUUUUAAGUCUGU
rnacentral:rRNA from 1 species